UGGAGAGGCUGUCAGGUUCAUCUGUUUCAGUGUCCUGCAUGCUCUCCCUCUAUGUUUGCCGUAGCAGUGGAUGCAACUUGCAAAAUGUACUGUUUUGAGAGCCAACUGGGGCUCAGUGGUUAUUUUGAAGAUGCGUUUCUGACCAAAAACACUGUGGAGACCUCCUUUGUGAACUGCAUUCAUGGGGAAAUAGAAAAUAAUCCUGGAGAUGGGAGAUGUGGAGCAGGAAAGUUUGUGGCAGCACCAGAGUCCUCCAAAAAGUCUUCUGGCAAAAACCAGGUUGUGAGGGCAGCAGUCUUAGCAAAGAUGCCCACACUUCCCUCUCCUCCAGCUCCUCUUGGGGGACCCCGGGGCCAGCUGAGAGACGUAGUCUCCCCAGCGUGUCCUGGGUCUCCCUUAGGGCCUCUGCCCAGUGAGACAUGCAUGGAACCCCCCCCCCCCCCCCCAGGGAGGCGUCCUCCUCUGGAUGUAGAGAGGAAGUGGCUCCACUCAGAGCUCUCUCCAGGUGAGCGAGCUUCCUGAACCUGUUCCGUUGAGAUAUUUUCAUGAACCCCUUCUAUUUGCAGAAACGGCUUUCUCCACAGACCGUGCAGUUCUUCUGCUCUGAUGUAGUCUACGAGUUCUGAUCGCAUUUGGAGAAGGUUGUGGUUCUGUGUCCUGAGAUGCAGGACCUGUUGAACAUGUGUCCUUUUCAAGUUCACUCUUGGAUGUGUGAGUUUGCAAACAUACAUUUUGGUUGAAAUGAUGAGGAUCCGAGGAUGAAAUCAAGAAGGGACAACUUCAGGGAAAGGGACUGAACCGACUGAACAGCUUCCUCUCUUCAGCAGACACAUGUUCCGAGUACAUAUGUGUCAAAUAUUGACAUCCUCGCCGUUCAGGCCGGUGGCUGGAACAAGCGGAAGUCAGAAAAGCUGGAGCAGACGUUACCAGAAUGAUACGUCCAGGACCAAUCAAAAUGACCCAGAGAAAAACACUGAAGGGCUUUGUCUGAGCAUCAGGAAAACAAGAAUCAGCAUAUGGUUAUGGUGCCAUAGUAAAGAACUAAAGGCUCUAUGAUGUCAUGCUGCUGACCAGACUGUGGUUGGUGAAGUCCAGCAGCACUGCGGGUCCUUGAAGUGUGGUUGAAGAGCUCUCCUCCAGCUUUUGGAAGGUUCUGCCCCACAAAGCCAGGUGGUUUCUCUUUGUGAUCUGCAUGGAUGUCCAGGGCUUGUGGCAUGUAUGUGUUUUCCUCUUCAUUUCAUUCUCAGGCAGCAAAGAGGCAUUGAUGGAGAGAGGACGUGAGGGACUAAUUGUCUGCUGAGGAGGAGACUUUCUGCAGGUCAAGCCCCAGCUCCACCCCUAAAAAAAGGCUUAUAUGAAGGAAAACCUCAUUUCAACUUUGUACCAAUAAAUGACUUUUAAUUGAAA